CUUAAGCAGCUACCCAGCAGGCUAGGUUGGCACACAGCUCAUUUCAGCCAUCCGUAUUUUCAGGUGUACCAUAUGUAUUUAGUACAUCAUUUGAUAAUGCUAAAAAAUAUUAAAGCAGUGUGAGACGAAAGGAGAAAGAAGAUGAAUGUUAGCAUUCCCCUGGGGUUCAUGGGUGAAGGAAUUAACACAGCGUGGCACUCUACCCUAGCUGUGUUUGUUUCCAUGGCAACAGCUACGUACAUGUUUCAGACUAUCUACAGUGACACAGUUGCAGAAAUAGUAGCUUGCAGGUUUCUGAUAUCGCAUCAGUGGACAGGCAGCACGCACUAUAUUAAGUAAGUGUAAAAGAAUUUAAAAUAUAGCUCUGAUUCAGAUGUAUAUUAGCUCGGCUGAGCCAUGUGUCGGGGUUUUUGACAUUCCCCUGCCUCACGACAGCAAAAUCUGGGCAAAGUUGAAAGUUGCAAGAUUCCAGUCAAACAAUUGUCCUUGCUUGGGCAAAUAUCAAAUGAAACAAAUGUGAGUGAGUUACAAAGUCACUAGAAAGCAUCAUCUCCUAAGACCGGCGUUCGUGUGAUGAUGGAGGCCUGUCUGUCCUUUCCGUGACUGGAGCAAUGCUGACCUCGGUUUCCUGGACCCAUUCCGACUCAGGGAGAAGAAAGUCAACAAAGGAAUUCCCAUUUGGCCAGCCUAGCCUGACAUCUGGGAAGAUCAUGGAGGAAAUUUUUCAUGUCAGAAACUGGGAGUUUGUUAAAAUGAUUGUCAGGGCUCCUGGCCGGCCCCGACGGUUGAGCAUCCAGCUCUGGGUUUCGGCUCAGGUUGUGAUCUCAGCGCCAUGACAUCGAGCCCCACACCGGGCUCUGUGCUCAGUGGGGAGUCUGCUUGAGAUACUCUCUGUCUUCCCCUGCUCCUACCUCUCCUCCCUGCACUCUCUCUUUCUCUAAUAAAUAAAUAAAUCUUUUAAAAAGUAAAAUAAAAUGAUUGUCUUCUCCUUCACCAGCCUUGAACAACAUUCUUUACAUCCUUCAGAAGAAUGGACUCGUCCCCGGAAGUAGCAUUGGCUUCUUUCUUCAGUAUGGUCCUUUCCAGGGACUGAACCAAGGGGUGGCUCGGGGCUCUAGUCCCCCCACACUCUGUCUCACACAGAUACAAGCCACUCGGACAGACCUUCACUGUGUUCAUUGUAGUACAGGUGCAGCACCCCAAGAAGCUCCCCAGCCAUCCCCUUCCUGGCCACUCCAUGCUACCUCGAAGCCCCUCCUACACAGACAUUCCAGAAUGGCCACAAUUCCUUAGUUUGCCCUUCUUGGCUCUUCCUUGUGGGCCGUCCUGGUGUUGACACCACUCUAUAGAUUUCAUUUUCCUCAGUGGGCCUCAGAAGGUUUCUUCUUGCAAAGAAAGAGCCCAGUGGGUGGGGGCCUCCAUCUGUCUGUGUGUUUGGCUGUCUAGAGGAAAGUUGUUCCUCACUCACCUGGCCCGGGGGCUCCGUUGUCUGUGCCUCCGUGCUUUCUGUGCUUCUGUUCGUCUCCCCCAGGCUCCCAGCCUGGGACAGAGUGCUGGGGUCUGGGCUUGUGUUGUCCACCUAACGAGUUCCUUCAUGGCCUUGGUGAUGUUGCCAAGGCCCCACAAGGAAUUUACAUGUACUCAAGAGAGACCCCUUUAGCCAUCAGAAUUCAGCUCUCUGGAAUAUAACCAGGAGUUAGGAAGAACUAAGAAAAGUCUCAGAGGACAAAAUACCUCUCUCCAAAGCUAAGCAUUAAACUUUAAGUAGAUCUUUGCUAGGUUUGUGUUUUGAGUGUGACCACACUCCCAAUUAACUCGGCUUUAUGAUUCUCUUUGCUUUUAUAGAUGAGAAAAACUGAAGCCCAAAGAGGCUAAAUAAUUUGCCUAAACUCUCCAAGCUAUGAGUGGUAGUACAGGUUCUUAGGACUCUAGACUUAGGAGGGUAAUCAGGUGUUCUGAAUGGUGGCAGCAAGAUAAGGAAAAGGGUUGAACUAUCUUUAACUCUUUCAUUUAGAAAGUAGUAGAAAGAUACAGAGUAAUUGCACGAUGGUUUCCUUCAGAACUUUUAUUUUUUUAAUUCUAGUGUGUGACAAGUAUCAGUUGGCUGAGAAAUCCCAGCUUGUGGAACUGUGCUUCCUGAUUCUGCCAAACGAAUGUGAAGUUACUAGAGUUCCCUUUGCUGAACAGCUAGUUCAUAGGCGCUUAUAAACUAUUUUUUGUAUCAUCAAGAGGAAGGAAGCCUCGGUUGUUCUGGGUCAUGGUGAUCAGCCUGGCUCUGGUGUGCACGGGCAGGAGACGGACAGCUUCUGGAAUGUCCCAGUGUCGGGAUAGACCCUUCCCCCAUGACUGAGGAUGGCUGCUUCCUGCAAGAAAGUUCCCUGCACGGGAGUGAAUGGUCACCAGCUCAUUGACAUUCACUGGCAUCCUUUGUUGGUGUUAAGCUUCACUGUUUUCAGAGUACUGUCCUGCACAUGAUCCCCUUGGUUUACAACACUCCUGUGUGUUAGGCAAAGCAGGCAGUGGUAUCCUUCCCAUCGUCCAGGUGAGGACAGCCAGGCUUGGAGGGAGGUGCACGUGGACGUGCUGCUGGGGAGAAGCAGGAGCCGAGCCCUUUGUCUAGAUCACCGAUUCAGAUCCUCCCGCCACUUGGAGCACCUGUGCCGUUCGUGCCCGG
ensembl:lincRNA